rnacentral:rRNA from 1 species
UACGUAGGGUGCAAGCGUUAAUCGGAAUUACUGGGCGUAAAGCGUGCGCAGGCGGUGAUGUAAGACAGUUGUGAAAUCCCCGGGCUCAACCUGGGAACUGCAUCUGUGACUGCAUCGCUGGAGUGCGGCAGAGGGGGGGAUGGAAUUCCGCGUGUAGCAGUGAAAUGCGUAGAUAUGCGGAGGAACACCGAUGGCGAAGGCAAUCCCCUGGGCCUGCACUGACGCUCAUGCACGAAAGCGUGGGGAGCGAA